ensembl:snRNA U6 U6 spliceosomal RNA
GUGCUCCCUUAGCAGCACAUAUACUAAAAUUGGAACUGUAUGGAGAAGAUUAGCAUGGCUCUUCUGCAAAGAUUACAUGCAAAUUUGCAAAGCAUUCUGCAUUUAA